GCUUCCAUGAAAUUAUUGUAAUAUGUAAUCUGGCCCUUAUUAUAUGUAAUGAUUAUACUGCAUAAUCCAGGAUACACAAAAUGCACCAUAAUGGGAAAAAAUAAAGGGCUUCUCCUAUCUUCUAUAAGGCUGAUGUACAGAAUUUUCUCCAAAUAGUUCUUCACACUGAGAAAGAAUUGGAUGACCCUUUGAAGAGGAUACAGAUGGAAGCACUAUGUGGUUUCGGUGAGUCACAAGGAGGAGCAAUGUCUAUUUCAGUGAGAUCAACAGCAAUUAGAUUCCCCAUCUUCUCUUGUUGGAGCCCUUCCCUCCCAUCUCUAAGGCAGCCAAUGUUUCUUAUCUAUAUUAAAAUCAAUCUUGCUCAUCUCAAAAAGCGAAAGUCACCCAGGGACACAGACACACAGGAAGCAAGAGAACAACCUGACAGGUUAAGCAAAACAUAAAUUUUUUUGUUCUUGGAGAACUCAGCUCCCUCAAACCUGCCAAUUCCCAUGUGUAAUGUAAGCUUCAGCACCUGGAGAAUGGAUCGUUAUCAGAGUUGAUUCUAUGGAGGUAUGCCCCUUGAUGACCGGCAUAAAAGUCAAGUAAACAAUACAGCAUAAUCUAAAGGAUGGUCAUUAAUAUGUGUGUGAAAUGCAACUUAAGACAUUUCUUACAACAAUUUGAUCUGGCCAAAUGCAGCC